UCCCACCUAUGAGUGAGAACAUGCGGUGUUUGGUUUUCUGUUCUUGCGAAAACUGUUACUUUGUUACUCAACAUGGCGGCAGGGGGCAUGGGGGGGUGUCAUGGGACUGCCUGCUUUCAGAAAGCUCAGCUUUUUGUAUUUCAUGUAACAGCAAAAUUUUACAGGACUUGGAAGUUCAUAUAAUAUUUAUAUUGUGCCAAGUAGGGCUCUUAAUAAGCAAUUACUGUACACAAACACCUUCAUUUAAAAAAAAUGAGAAUUUUAGAUGAGAGUCCUGUGUAUCAUUUCUUAAAGAAAAUCUACAAGGAGUCAAAGGAGUUUCUCUAAUUGGCCAACACAGAACAGCUGAUGAAUAAGUAUAUUUAUAAGGAGAAACUGGCUGAAAAAUAAAAUACCAGUGCUUUGCGAAAGCAAUGAUGGAGGUGAGCAAAUCCUAAUCUUAAAUGAGACAUAAAAAGGACCGCAAAUCAAUUCAAUCAUUUAAUUAGAGAUAACUCUCAGAAGAAAAAGGGUUAAUUUUUUCAAAAUAAAUGGUUCAAUUUAUGAUAAGCCCUAGAGGCUUUAUGCUAAUUACAAGUUAUUUUAAGGCAUGCGUUUGUAAGCACAGUUUAUAGUUACCUCUGUGAGAGCUGUUUGGAUCAUGAGAGCUCUACUUUAUGCCUUGUUUUAGCUGCUUGAAAUGAGAUUUUGUUGUCAGUUGCAGGAACACUAAUAUAAAAAGCAGAAUCUGUGUGUUUUGUUGGUACACAUAGAUCAUAACUGUGGGCCAUGAGAAAUGUGCAGCUGUUCUUUCAUUACACUCGGAAGGAAAAUGUUUUGCUGUGUUACAAGUCUGUGUGCUUAUACCUUCGUGACUUGCUCCUUUCAGAAUAAUUUCCCCAGAGUCAAAUCCCAGCCAAGUGCAGCCUUUACAUAUUGCGGUGGGCAUAAAUGCUAGCUCGAGGCUUUUUCUGAAGUUGUGAAAGGUUGACAGUACUUUACUGGUUGACUCAAGUAAGAAAUUAUGGAGGUUUUCAUAUCAGAACAGCUGCACUUAAAUUUUCCAUCCAAAACACUUACCAAUUUAUUCAAAAUUAGGGGAUAAUUGAAAAGCAGUUUCAUAAGAUUCUGGCUUUCUAAAAGAAAAUAUAAAAUUGUUUUAAAACAUGCAAAUUAUAUUGUUAGUUACUGAGUGUUUUCUUCUCUCAUAGUAGCAGUUGUGCAUUCUGUCUAUGCCUGCUUGGAUAUUUAUGUUGAGUAACUGUAUUUGUUUUGUUUUCAGUUAUAAAAUGUUCUUUUACUUGAGUAAGAGCAAAUUCUUCCCUUAUUUAUUUUUCCAGAGAUGUCAUGCUCAUUAGGUAUGCAUUUGGGUGUAACUACAACAAAACAAAAUGGAUUUUUUAUAAAUAAAAUUUACAUAGCUGAAAAGAGCACAUUUUAUCUUCAAGAUAAACAUUGCCAUCUUUUUUUCUGAUUGUUGCUCUGUAAUUCUUCUGAACAACAAAAUGAAAAUAAGUCAAAAUGAGAAACCAAUUCUGUCUCUUUAUAAAAUGUCAAAUAUGUAUGUCAAAUUCCCUAAGAACUGUAAAUGACUCUUCUUAGUAUUUUUAAAAAUCCCAGAUGUAAUUACAUUAAGUAAUCUGGUUUCCAAAGGAGUUGGAAUAAUUAAAAAGCACCUGCUGAUUUUCUUCAGUAGACUAAAAAGUAUUUUAAUAAUACACAAAUAGCAGAAACUGAAAAAAGAAAAGACUUAAAUAGAAGGAUCAUUUUAACUAACCAUUUUAUGAAUUUUCAAGUUUCAAGCUUAUGGUGUUUAUACCAAGACAUGCUACCUAUUAGUUACAGGUAGAUGACAUUAGUAAGAAAUCAGUUAUACUGUUCGGCUUUUAAAAUUUAACUCAAUUCUAAAAGCUUUCCUCUCUCCUUACAUGGCUGUUUCAUAACCAUAUGGGAGACAUGAACUCCAGUUGACUCUGGAUUACCUAUGGAAUUGGGUUUAAAAUGCAAUGAGAAAGCCAAAUGAGACUGUAAGAUGAAAUUCUGGAGCUGGUGUAUUACUUCGUGCAUGGGCUUCUACACUUCAGUGCCCUCCUUGACAUCGCAAUAAACUCUACUCCACACUGAAGCCUUCACUGAAAACUUCAGAAUAGAAGUUGGCAUAAAGUAUAGUAAUUAUGGCUUUCAUGGAGUGACGUGUAUGUUAAGGACUUCAAAGCAUCCUACUAUUCACAUGUGUGGACUGUGCUAAAGUAGAAGAAUCUAUAAAACCAAAGGAAAACAAAAGUGACAAAACUGGAGGACUUUUAUUUUUAUGGAGGCAGAUGGGCAAAGUAAGGUAGGCUGAAUGCCACUUCAGUUCUAAAAGUCUAUUUAUUUUCUCUUGGUCUGACUGGAAGUGCUGUCUAUAUAGCCCAACACUUUCAAGGGAAGGAUGACGUUGGAGGCUGCCAUGGCAAAAUAAUAAGAAAAUUGUCAAAUUGUCAAAAAUCGAGUUUUAGGAUUCAACCUUUGAGACUCAUAAUUCACAAUCUGCUUUCUUUGCCUUCUUUCUUUACUCAGUCGUGGUUCAUGUUACUUUAAAUGUUUAGACAAAAAAUUCUAUCGUAAAUAUGACCAUUUAAUUUCCUACAAGGUUUUCAAAAGUUUCUUCUUGGGUUUAUUCAUCCCUAUGGAAAAUUCCUUAGAGAGUUUUAAGAAUCUUCAGUGAAUACUUUUGGAAUAAAGGGAAAGAAAGCAAAAAUGCUGUUUUAUCAUCGAGAAAAAUGAAACUCAAAACAAGCUUAACCAUCAAACCUCUUCUUUAUUCCAAUUUGGCAUAUUUGUAAUAGCAACAAAAAGCUGUUCUUAGAAAUAAAAUGCAUAUUUCUUACUCCUAAAUACCACUGUACAAUGAGAUUUCCAAGUCAAUUUUUGGGGGAAAAUGUGUAACUUCUGUAUAAUGUAUUUAGGGUCUUAAGUGACAUAUUUCUGUUGGGUGGUUUAUAUGUUAUCUGUAGAUAGCACCUCACUACUAAGGCAUAAGAAAGAAACUUGUGCUCGAAGAGGAGGGAUGCAAUAAAAAUAGAAUUUGAUUUCAA